rnacentral:tRNA from 1 species
UGUCCGAUGGUGUAACUGGUAACACGUCUGACUCUGGAUCAGAAGAGUCCAGGUUCGAGCCCUGGUCGGACAG